CGUUGAGAAGAAGCUAGGUGA
rnacentral:piRNA from 1 species